rnacentral:rRNA from 1 species
UAAAGCGUGCGCAGGCGGUUCGCUAAGACAGAUGUGAAAUCCCCGGGCUUAACCUGGGAACUGCAUUUGUGACUGGCGGGCUAGAGUAUGGCAGAGGGGGGUAGAAUUCCACGUGUAGCAGUGAAAUGCGUAGAGAUGUGGAGGAAUACCGAUGGCGAAGGCAGCCCCCUGGGCCAAUACUGACGCUCAUGCACGAAAGCGUGGGGAGCAAACAGGAUUAGAUACCCUGU